rnacentral:rRNA from 1 species
UAGGGAAUCUUCGGCAAUGGACGAAAGUCUGACCGAGCAACGCCGCGUGAGUGAAGAAGGUUUUCGGAUCGUAAAACUCUGUUGUUAGAGAAGAACAAGGACGUUAGUAACUGAACGUCCCCUGACGGUAUCUAACCAGAAAGCCACGGCUAACUACGUGCCAGCAGCCGCGGUAAUACGUAGGUGGCAAGCGUUGUCCGGAUUUAUUGGGCGUAAAGCGAGCGCAGGCGGUUUCUUAAGUCUGAUGUGAAAGCCCCCGGCUCAACCGGGGAGGGUCAUUGGAAACUGGGAGACUUGAGUGCAGAAGAGGAGAGUGGAAUUCCAUGUGUAGCGGUGAAAUGCGUAGAUAUAUGGAGGAAAACCAGUGGCGAAGGCGGCUCUUUGGUCUGUAACUGACGCUGAGGCUCGAAAGCGUGGGGAGCAAACAGG